GUCAUGAGGUAACUGGGUGAUUCUUAGACUAUGGGCACUUUUAUGUUCUUUGGUCAUAUUUAUAAAAAUACAUAUAAUUUUGGACAAAUUCCUCUUUCUUAGUCAAACUAACAAUAAAACCACCUUAAAAACUUUUUACUACCUUUCUAUUAUGAUUUUUUCAUACUUUUCAACCUCCUUAUAGGUGUCAAAAUCACUGUUUUCUCCUUGUCGCACACCCAGACUUUUAAACUUCAACAAUGAAAAUACAGUUUAAAAAUAUGACUUAUCUGGUAACUAUUAAUGUACCUGAAUUAAGCACUAGUAAAAUAAUUCAAAUACAUAAUAGUAUUUAA